AGAGCAAGCCGGGAGGAGAGCCAAGGGCAAGAAGAGCGACUCCAAGAGGAAAGGCCGGGAGGGUCCCAAGGGCAGCAGCCCGGAGAAGAAAGAGAAAGUGAAGGCCGGGCCCGACUCGGUCCUGGGGCAGCUGGUGUCAAGACGGGAACAACCUGGAUGUCUAAAAAGAGGCCCUGAGCCGGGUGUGGUGACACACACCUGUAAUCCCAGCACUCUGGAGGCUGAGGCAGGAGGAUCACCUCCAGUGAGAGGCCAGCCUGGGCUACAUACUCGUGUUUUUCCCUGUGCUUUGCCUCAAGCUGAGGGAGGAGCUGCUCGUGAGGAUGCAGUGCCCCCUGGUGGCUGGAGGGCCUUUCCCUUCUUCCCCUGGGCUUGAUUGAAUGCUGACCUCUGGUCCCCCGAAGUUCUUACCAACGUUUGAGCCAGGAGCUCGCUGUUUCAUUUGUCCUUCACUCUGCAGCUGACCCUGCCAGGCCAGGGUAGGGGCCUGCUUCUGGG
rnacentral:lncRNA from 1 species